rnacentral:rRNA from 2 species
GCUCGAGCGCGUCGUGGUAUUUCGCGUAUUGUAAUUUCAACACGAGCGGGGUCAAAUCCUUUGCAGACGACUUAGCUGUGCGAAACGGUCCUGUAAGCAGUAGAGUAGCCUUGUUGUUACGAUCUGCUGAGGGUAAGCCGUCCUUCGCCUCGAUUU